UGUACAUGUGAGGUAAGGAGGAAAAUGUUCAAUGUAAAAUCAAUUUAUAUUAUGAUUUUUGCAUUCCGUUCUUACAAAUUAAAAUCUUAUAAAUACUCGGCCAUGGCUAAGAAAGCUCUUUUCUGUCUCAACCAGCGGACGAAAUAGUAGUGCGCGUCGUGAUUAGCGAAAUGUAUUAAAAAGUAUUUAAUUUGAUUGUUAAAAGUGUUAACUGAUUAAUUUAUGUGUUGUUUCUUUUUGUAGAAGUACGGUUUGUGUUCCUUAAAAACUAUUAGUACGGGCAGUAGUACGUAAACGUUAUAUUUGAGAAGAAUUAGAAGAAAUAGUACGGUUGGUGUCAUUUGUAAACAGUUACAAUUGUUAAAACUUAAAAAUACCUUAUUCUAGUAGAUUUUGCCCAUAAUGUGCCUGAUCUAAAUGUAUAGAGAUCUAUAAGAAUAGUUGCUGUGAAAAGAGAAAGGUCCAUCAAGGGCCUUUCUCUUUAUUUUCUUUUCUUCGGCACAAGUUCCGGCUAGCCGCUGGACCGACAAAGCUUCGCUAGAUGCGCACGUCUAUCCGCAAAGUCAUGGAUGAGCGCAGAAAAGGAAGACAUUCGAGAGACCCCCCCCCCACUUCGGGCAGCAUACGUCGGAGAACGGUGAGUCAGCCAUCUUGAAAGGCCUUUCCAUGCGGGAAGCCGUCUGUCUCCGUGUCGAGUCGGGAAGCAUCGAUAACUGCCCCGAACUUCCGACGAAAGUAUACUCAAGCCACUACGAACCACCCACCGACAUCAGAAUACGCCACCGGAAUCAACAGCAACGCCACCUAUCAACUGCCACCUGCAAGCCAAAACCACUACGGAUCCGGAUCCCAACGAAAGCCAUACGCAAGUACCUUAUGUGACGUCAGAGUGUAGAAGAGGUGUCCAAAAUGGACAAGUUAGUUAAUAAAUAGUUUGUAAUUGGAA